UCCUCUGGGUCUCCCACACAGGGGUCGGGGGCCAAGGCCUUGGGCCAUCUUCUACUGCCUUCCCAGGCCACAGCAGAGAGCUGGAUCGGAAGUGGAGCAGCCGGGACUCGAACCGGCUCCUAUAAGGCACGGCUCCACAAUGCCAGCCACUUUCUGUUAAGCCCCGACUUGGAGUGGCCGUGGGGGCUCGGUGGGUUAGGCUGCUGCGUGGGCGUCCAGCAUUCCGUUACGGGAACGUGGGUUUGAGUCCCAGCUGCUCCGCCUCCCACCCAGCUCCCUGCUAGUGGGCCUGGGAGAAAGGCAGAUGAUGGCCAAGUCCUUGGGCCCCUGACCCCCGUGUGGGAGACCUGGAUGGUGUUCCCGGCCUUGGCCCAGCCCUUUGUGGCCAUUUGGGGAGCCAGCAGAUGCAAGAUCUCCCUCUCUCGUCUCCGUCUCUGUCACUCUGCCUUUCAGAGAAAGAAAGACAUGUUGAAAGCCCUGCGUCGUGGAGGUGGAAGCGUGCAGUCUGUCUGCUGACGUCACUGGGCAGGUGCCCCAGGCCCGUCCAUAGGGGGGCCGGUGUCUGCGUCUCCCUCCUUUCAUAGCGGAAUAGGGCUAUGUCGCACUGGACGGCUCCGUGACCUCUCCAUUGGCAGAAGGAGGCCCUCGGCUUUCUCCUUACCUCACGGCUGCAGCAGCACCCUUAGGGAAUCUUGGCAAGUGCUCUCGAUCUGCUGGGGGAAAUCUGCCUUCUGAAACCGGUAAAAGAGGAACCCUCACUCGGCUACUCGCCGUCUCUGCCCCAAGUCUGCCGCCGGCCGACAGGUGCACCGGCCCCUGCAACACUGACAGGGGCGGAGUUUCCGGAAGAGCCGGGGUCCUGGUGUCUGACCCCACUGGGUCACUGGAGCUCCUCUCAGCGGCCACCGCACAGCCUGGCAGAGGACGCACUUCCCACAGAAGCCUGGAGGGAGUCUCCCUCGCACUGUCCUGGCUGUUGACAGUCCUCCGGAAGCUGCUAAUCUGGGGGCGGCCCCGGGUCAUUCUAGGAGGGCAAUGAUGAUAACAGGUCUCCUACAGCACCAGGGACACAGUAACACAGAAAGCAAAACGUGCAGCUAAAUGCAACAGCCCUCUCUCUCCCUCCAGUCCUUCACAGGAUGUUUGGUGGCUGAAGAAAAGUUACACCACAUCUGACCUGGCUCUAAAUGUAUCUAGAAAAAUUUAUGGAAACUGUCCAGUAAGUGUGUUGCAGAAAGCAAUGGAGACUGCCGUAGCUUGGCAGUUAGGGUGCUCUUCUCCCAUGAUCGAACAGGGAUGCAGGCACUGCAGGCGGCGGCUUUAACCACUACGCCACAGCGCCGGCCCCUGGGCAGUUGAUUUGUAUAUUUGGGCGGAGCUGGGGAGCCCACAUCUGCUUUGGGACUUUCCCACGCUCUGGGACGACCCCCACAAAAUGGAGCAGGGUAACAGGAUGCAAAGGGAGCCAAGGUU
rnacentral:lncRNA from 1 species